rnacentral:rRNA from 1 species
CAGUAGCCGCGGUAAUACGUAGGUGGCAAGCGUUAUCCGGAUUUAUUGGGCGUAAAGCGCGUCUAGGUGGUUAUGUAAGUCUGAUGUGAAAAUGCAGGGCUCAACUCUGUAUUGCGUUGGAAACUGUGUAACUAGAGUACUGGAGAGGUAAGCGGAACUACAAGUGUAGAGGUGAAAUUCGUAGAUAUUUGUAGGAAUGCCGAUGGGGAAGCCAGCUUACUGGACAGAUACUGACGCUAAAGCGCGAAAGCGUGGGUAGCAAACAGGAUUAGAUACCCCGGUAGUCCCUGUCUCUUAUACA